GUAGGGUGCGAGCGUUAAUCGGAAUUACUGGGCGGAAAGCGUGCGUAGACGGUUUUGUAAGUCGGAUGUGAAAUCCCCGGGCUUAACCUGGGAACUGCAUUGGUGACUGGCAGGCUAGAGUAUGGCAGAGGGGGGUAGAAUUCCACGUGUAGCAGUGAAAUGCGUAGAGAUGUGGAGGAAUACCGAUGGCGAAGGCAGCCCCCUGGGCCAAUACUGACGCUCAUGCACGAAAGCGUGGGGAGCAAACAGG
rnacentral:rRNA from 1 species